CUUAAUUGACCAAAACCAACAUUGGAUUCAUUGUUGUGGAUGAAAGAUCUUGCACACUGCUUACCAGGGAUGGAGUUUCUUCCUUAUCUGACCCAAAACGACACCGAUUUCAUUGCAGUCCAUGAAAGAUCUUGUUUGCUGCUUACCAGGGAUGGAGUUUCUUCCUUAUCUGACCCAAAACAACACCGAUUUCAUCACAGUCCACGAAAGAUCUUGUUUGCUGCUUAACAGGGAUGGAGUUUCUUCCUUAUCUGACCCAAAACAACACCAAUUUCAUUGCAGUCCAUGAAAGAUCUUGUUUGCUUACCAGGGAUGGAGUUUCUUCCUUAUCUGACCCAAAACAACACCAAUUUCAUCUCAGUCCAUGAAAGAUCUUGUUUGCUGCUUACCAGGGAUAGAGUUUCUUCCUUAUCUGACCCAAAACAACACCAAUUUCAUCUCAGUCCAUGAAAGAUCUUGUUUGCUGCUUACUAGGGAUGGAGUUUCUUCCUUAUCUGACCCAAAACAACACCAAUUUCAUCGCAGUCCAUGAAAGAUCUUGGAGUUUCUUCCUUUUCAAUGGACCAAAACCAGCCAGAGUCUCACUGAUGUCAAUUGAAAGAUCUCUCUUUCUCCUUCCCACUCCUUUUCCUAUCUGACAAAUUCAAUAAACUCUAUUGGUUGAAUUAGCUCGUUGCAAUCCUCCCCUCUUUUUGAGUUUCCAAGCCAAAGAUUGACCCCAGCCCCUUUGCAUCCAAGGAAAGAAAACACAAACAACAAGGCAAGGGAUGCGCUGUCAAAUUGCAGCUCAAGAAGUGGCCGUCGCUGCCUUUUAAGGGGGAGCACAUCGGCUUCUAUGGAAAACAGGAGGCAAAGAGGGAAAGCGCCUUAAACUCAUCCCCCAACCAAGCCGCUGUUUGCAAGAGCCUAAACCGCCUUCCUUGCCUGCUUUGCAAACUGGAUCUCCGGUAGUUAGUUCUUUUGGCGGCCUUUUCUUUGCAGCCAGGAAGGUCUGGCCCGGUGAUGCCUUGCAAGGCGAGCGAGGCUUUGGCCAGGUCGCCCUUCCCGAGCGCUUCCUGGGUCUCUCCGCCUUAAGAGAGAAGGAGGCGAGGCAAGAGGAGAGCCGCUCGGCGAAGGCCCGGCCCUGCAGAGCCACCUGGCGAGUGGAAGGGAGCAGCACAGGGCAGGCUGCAGGCCGGGGCCUCCUCCACACAGGAGAAUUAACGCAGGUUGACACCGCUUCAGAUGCCAGGGCUCCAUGCAAUGGAAACCUUGGAGGCAUACUCUGGGUUUUUACAUCAUGACAUAUGGUGAGGAGGAGGAUCUUGACAGUCUUCCCGAAAAAAGAUGCUCACGUCAGCGAUUAUCUGGCUGCCGAGAAAGAUGUCACCCAAAGUCUGGUCCAUGGUGUUGGAGAAAGUGUUCAAAUCUGUUCAGGAAAAGGUAAGGAUUUUCUUAAACUGCAGGCUUCUCUUCUGCUGUAGUCCUCUGUCAAGUCCUUGAAGCUUCAGUUUUGCAACCAUGGUCCUCCCAACAGACGGAUCAAUGGAUUUAUAAUGAUUUCUCUGUUCUGUGGAUUGUAUGCUCUUUCUUUUCGUGUGGUGGCUGAUGGUGUCUUUAUCAGUGGACGUAGUAAAUCCUACUCUGGGUUUUAAAAGACCUGUGCGAGGAACUGAGCCCUAUCCAAAGAAUAGAGAUACAAUUUCCCAUGGGCUUAAAAUCCCUCUCUGCAUGCAUCAAGAAGAAAGGGAGUUUCUGGCUCCAUAGUGGCCAAGCUACCUGGCCAUUGCUCUGUUGUGCUUUUGAUUAAGCAAUUCACAAGAUAUUCGGCCCCCAACUAUAUCUAGCAGCAGCUCCCUCACUUUAUACCUGGUCCUUCCUCCUAUACGUUUAGCAUUUUAAACUGACAUUUCUCUUUUACUUCAGUACCCAUUACUGCUCAGACUAUUGGCUGUUGAUGAUGCUGUUUCUAUGUUAUUGUCUUGUUGUAAUGUUGAUGAUUUUAUUGAGAUAUGUUUUAAUCUAUGUUUGGUUUUAAUCUUUGUUGGAUCGGGCUUGUCCUCAUGUAAGCUGCCCCGAGUCCCUGGAGGCGGGAUAUAAAAAUAAAGUUGUUGUUGUUGUCUGAAAAAAAAACUUUUCCAAGCUCUGUUUCAGUAGUCUAGCCAAACAGAGUUGUUUCCAUUUUUUUCCACAAGUGUAGUAUGGGUAUAACCCAGUUCAGAAAUAUCCUAGGCUCCGCUCUCUUAUCUUUUUCUCAUCAUACUAUGAAACACUUACUAAGUCUCAAAAUCCAUCUGAAAUCUAUAGUCUGUAACGAGAAAUAAAACUUAAAUGCCCUAUCACUUUCCUUGAGGACUGUUGGAAGAACAAUUUGAGUAUCUUUCAGAGGAGGCUAUUGGCUUUCCAUGGAAGCCACCAAGGGGAGGUGGGAAUGUCUUCUUCAGCUCAGCAUGGAUUUAGUUUGAACGAGGCGUCUUGGUAGACCACAAGCUAAGCUUGAAUCAAUAAUGUGACACAACAACUUAGGAGUAUUGCAGUUGCUUAAAGUAAUACUAUCACUCUAAUCAGCUUUAGUGAGAUCUCACUCUGAAUACUGUGUCCAUUUGUGAGCACCAAUGCCAGGAAGGAUAUUGGCUGUGUGAAACGUGUCUGGAGGAGGGCAACUGAAACGGUAAAAGUUCAGGAAAUGGUGCCCUAUGAAGAGUGACUUAGGGAACAAGGUAUGUUUAUCUUGGAGAAUAGAAGGUCAAGAAGUGACAUGAUAUCUAUGUUUAACUAUUUGAAAAAAUAUCAUAUUGAAGAUAGAACAGGCUUCUUUUCUGCUACUCUAGAGACUGAGACACAGAGCAAUGGAUUAAAACUGUAAGAAAAGAGAUUCCACCUCAACAUUAGGGAAAACAGUCUACAAUAAGAGCUGUUUGAUGGCUGGAUAUGCUGCCUCCAAGCAUGGUGGAGCCUCCUUUUUUUGGAGAUCUUUAGAUAGAUGUUGGAUGACCAUCUGCCAUUAAUGGUUUUAUUUAUUUAUUUAUUUAUUUACAGCAUUUAUAUUCCGCCCUUCUCACCCCGAAGGGGACUCAGGGCGGAUCACAUUACACAUGUAGGCAAACAUUCAAUGCCUUUUAACAUAGGACAAAGGCAAACAAACGUAGGCUCCGAGCGGGCCUCGAACUCAUGACCUCCUGGUCAGAGUGAUUCAUUGCAGUUAAUUGCAGCUGGCUUGCUCUCCCGCCUGUGCCACAGCCCGGGCUGAUUGUAUAUUCCUGAAUGGCAGAUUGGGGUUGGACUAGAUGGCUCUUGGGGGGUCUCUUCCAACUGUACGAUUCUGUGAUUCUAUAAAAGGGGUGAAUGCUAUCCAACCAAAUAGAUUCAACAUAUUGGUUAGCACAUUGGUUUUCAAUCUGGUGUCCUCAGUUGUUUUUGGCCUACAACUCCCAGAAAUCCCAGCCAGUUUACCAACUGUUAGGAUUUCUGGGGUUUGAAGGCCAAAAACAUCUGUGGAUCCCAGGCUGAGAACCAUUGGGAUAGUACUACUGUUACCAAUUAUAAUCAUUGCUCCUCUUCAGAUGUUCAGUUCUUUUGCUUUUUAGUCACUUCCCACUAAAAUCAUUUUCUGGGAUUCAAGAAGAUGAAGGUCUCUUUCCAAAAGGUGUUUAUGCUCCUUAUGUCGGGAGUUUGAAAUCUGAUGCAACUCCUCUGCUGGUAGUAUUGACUCUUACUGAAAAAUAGCAACUGGCCAACACAGGCUGAGAAAGGAUAGGAAUCUACAUAUGUACAUCAAGAAGAAAUAUGAAUAUCUUUGGGAAAUGGAGAUGACAGCUGCUAUAUAGACACAUCAGGGAAUUAGAGGGGGGAAAUGGCCAAAUGGCCUACUUUUCCUUGAGUUUGUGGAAAAAAAGAAAAAUAGAUCAACUAUUCAGGGGGAGAGGGGGGGGGGAAGUCUUCUUCAGCUCAGCUUUAGCCAGGAAUAGCUCGACAGUAAUGAACUGAACCAUCUUGGCCUGUCAAGGAGAUCUAGGCCAGAAGUUUUUAAAUGGUUUUAUAAAAUCUGCAGUAAUUACCCCAAUGAUUAUGAAGAAAUAUGGGGGAAAGGGCUGUAGUGCCAGAGUUAUACAUCUUGGAGAGGUGGUCUGACACAACCAGAAGCACUUUGGAGUGGAUUUGAGCACCAUCAGGCAUCCUAGAUGGAUAGAUAGUCUCAGGCAUCUUUCCCUCUGGAGCAAUUUCUUUCUCUUUUUUUUCUCCAACGUGCCUUGCAAGCAGAGGUGAGCUUUGAUAUGUCUUUUUCCCCCUUUAAUACACUGUCUGAGCAGCCAUUUCUUAUGUUAAAGUUAUUUCAGCCAGAGUGAGCAGAAUGAGGUGGAAGCAAAUGCCAAGAGAUUUGGAAAGUCAUUUUGAUCUUGACACCUGAACUGACAAACGACUUCAUUUUGUGCUCAAGGGGGUGCCUGGAUGUUUUUAAAUGGCUGGAUGAGAAGGAGGAGGAGGAGGAGAAGAUGGCGGUUUAGGUAAUCGGGCGGCAGCUUUUUCUUUUCAGAAUAAAUUUUGAAAAACCUGCUGGGAGCCGUUGAUCAUACAGCUUCUGAAAAGCAGGCCAAUUAAAGGGAGAUUAAUUUGUAAGCAUUACAAAGUGUGGUUUUGACAGCCUGAUAUGAAUGCAUAAAUGGAGAGUUGUGUCGUGUUGAGUGUGCCAUGUUAAAAGACUAGGAGCAGAUGGUUGACUGGUGCACACAGCUCCAGCCUCCAGGAGAAGGAUGGAGUCCUACCAAAGCUUUUUCGAGAUCCAAUUCCAGGGCUGGGUUAUCAACGGUUCAGCUGGUGCUAUUACUGUGGGCCCUCAAUGGCGAGGGACCUAGUAUGUAAGGAAAAUGGUGAACAAUACAAUCCCCUUUAUCCAUCAACUUCAUAUCCACAGUUUCACUUACCAAUGGUCCAAAAGGCAUUACCCCCAAAGUGAUUUGUGGAUC
ensembl:lncRNA